AAAAAAAAAAAAAAAAAAAAAAAAAAAAAAAAAAAAAAAAAAAGAGGCUAAGUCUACCGAGGGGCAAAAAUGUCAUUUUGCCCCUCCCAAUAGGGUUCAAGGAAAACCCAUCAAACCUCGUGCAAAAGAAAAAACAAAGAAGUUAGAGAGAAAAUUGAGAGGAAACAAAAAAGAUUUGCUGCGAAGUUUCGUUGGACCACCGUCCAAAUCUACCUUCAGACGAGACCUGUACAAGGACUGAUAGCUAGCGAGGCCGACGCUCCGUUAAGAUCCAAGAACGUUUCGCGAGGAACAACUCUAAACAUGAUUUGUGAAGAAGUUUGGCCGAAAUCUUGAUCCAAAGGCGGAGAUCCGAGAAUCGUUUGAGAUCGAUUGAGGAUAGAGAGAAGAAGGAGAAGAAGAAGAAAAAUUCGCCAGUCACGUUUUGGCCGGCGAGCGGCGGAGGGCGGCUGAGCAAGCGUUGGACACGCGUCGAUCGUCGGCUGGAGCAACGUAGCUCUAGUGAUACGACGACACGCGUCGUUUGCAAACCCUGAGCCGAACCGCAAUCUCGAGCUGAGCUGAGCCAAACCGGACCGCUCGACCCGCGAUUGCGCAAAAGCAACCGUGCGUGGUAGUCACGACUGGUGUACUUCCUCACACAUGGUCGGCGCAUAGCCGACACGUGAGACACCCGCUUUGUGGAUGUUUUAUAUUUGAGUUUUAUGAGAAUAGGGUUAUAACCCGACUCGAACUACCUAAAAAUGGGGUUACAAUCCAACUCAAUCCUACCAUACUUUUAAAAUUAUUAUAAAAAUUAAGAAUAUUUGCCUUUAUUAUUGAUGUUAGUGAUAAAUUGUAACUUGUGA